GAACCAGCGUGGGUCGAGGAUGG
rnacentral:piRNA from 1 species